UACGGGGGGGGCAAGCGUUGUUCGGAAUUACUGGGCGUAAAGGGCUCGUAGGUGGCCAACUAAGUCAGACGUGAAAUCCCUCGGCUUAACCGGGGAACUGCGUGUGAUACUGGAUGGCUUGAGUUCGGGAGAGGGAUGCGGAAUUCCAGGUGUAGCGGUGAAAUGCGUAGAUAUCUGGAGGAACACCGGUGGCGAAGGCGGCAUCCUGGACCGAUACUGACGCUGAGGAGCGAAAGCCAGGGGAGCAAACGGG
rnacentral:rRNA from 1 species